CAUGAUUUACAUUUGAGUGAGUGGCGAACUGGUGAGUAACACGUGGGAAACCUGCCCAGAAGCGGGGGAUAACACCUGGAAACAGAUGCUAAUACCGCAUAACAACUUGGACCGCAUGGUCCGAGUUUGAAAGAUGGCUUCGGCUAUCACUUUUGGAUGGUCCCGCGGCGUAUUAGCUAGAUGGUGGGGUAACGGCUCACCAUGGCAAUGAUACGUAGCCGACCUGAGAGGGUAAUCGGCCACAUUGGGACUGAGACACGGCCCAAACUCCUACGGGAGGCAGCAGUAGGGAAUCUUCCACAAUGGACGAAAGUCUGAUGGAGCAACGCCGCGUGAGUGAAGAAGGGUUUCGGCUCGUAAAACUCUGUUGUUAAAGAAGAACAUAUCUGAGAGUAACUGUUCAGGUAUUGACGGUAUUUAACCAGAAAGCCACGGCUAACUACGUGCCAGCAGCCGCGGUAAUACGUAGGUGGCAAGCGUUGUCCGGAUUUAUUGGGCGUAAAGCGAGCGCAGGCGGUUUUUUAAGUCUGAUGUGAAAGCCUUCGGCUCAACCGAAGAAGUGCAUCGGAAACUGGGAAACUUGAGUGCAGAAGAGGACAGUGGAACUCCAUGUGUAGCGGUGAAAUGCGUAGAUAUAUGGAAGAACACCAGUGGCGAAGGCGGCUGUCUGGUCUGUAACUGACGCUGAGGCUCGAAAGUAUGGGUAGCAAACAGGAUUAGAUACCCUGGUAGUCCAUACCGUAAACGAUGAAUGCUAAGUGUUGGAGGGUUUCCGCCCUUCAGUGCUGCAGCUAACGCAUUAAGCAUUCCGCCUGGGGAGUACGGCCGCAAGGCUGAAACUCAAAGGAAUUGACGGGGGCCCGCACAAGCGGUGGAGCAUGUGGUUUAAUUCGAAGCUACGCGAAGAACCUUACCAGGUCUUGACAUACUAUGCAAAUCUAAGAGAUUAGACGUUCCCUUCGGGGACAUGGAUACAGGUGGUGCAUGGUUGUCGUCAGCUCGUGUCGUGAGAUGUUGGGUUAAGUCCCGCAACGAGCGCAACCCUUAUUAUCAGUUGCCAGCAUUAAGUUGGGCACUCUGGUGAGACUGCCGGUGACAAACCGGAGGAAGGUGGGGAUGACGUCAAAUCAUCAUGCCCCUUAUGACCUGGGCUACACACGUGCUACAAUGGAUGGUACAACGAGUUGCGAACUCGCGAGAGUAAGCUAAUCUCUUAAAGCCAUUCUCAGUUCGGAUUGUAGGCUGCAACUCGCCUACAUGAAGUCGGAAUCGCUAGUAAUCGCGGAUCAGCAUGCCGCGGUGAAUACGUUCCCGGGCCUUGUACACACCGCCCGUCACACCAUGAGAGUUUGUAACACCCAAAGUCGGU
rnacentral:rRNA from 2 species